rnacentral:tmRNA from 1 species
GGCGAGAAUCAGGAUCGACUCGCGCUGGUGAUGGCUGCCACCCACCUCUCACCAGGGCCAGACAAGACGAGCGGUGGCUACACGCGUAGUAGCUCGUCCCGAAGCGUUUUCGGACCCGGGUUCGACUCCCGGCGUCUCCACUG